rnacentral:rRNA from 1 species
GACGAACGCUGGCGGCGUGCUUAACACAUGCAAGUCGAACGGAAAGGCCCUGCUUGCAGGGUACUCGAGUGGCGAACGGGUGAGUAACACGUGUGUGAUCUGCCCUGCACUUCGGGAUAAGCCUGGGAAACUGGGUCUAAUACCGGAUAGGAGCCAUUUUUAGUGUGAUGGUUGGAAAGUUUUUUCGGUGUAGGAUGAGCUCGCGGCCUAUCAGCUUGUUGGUGGGGUAAUGGCCUACCAAGGCGGCGACGGGUAGCCGGCCUGAGAGGGUGGACGGCCACAUUGGGAAUGAGAGACGGCCCAGACUCCGACGGGAGGCAGCAGUGGGGAAGAUUGAACAAUGGGCGCAAGCCUGAUGCAGCGACGCCGCGUGGGGGAUGACGGCCUUCGGGUUGGAAACUCCUUUCGCUAGGGACGAAGCUUUUUGUGACGGUACCUAGAGAAGAAGCACCGGCUAACUACGUG